rnacentral:rRNA from 1 species
UUUUGUGACUGAGUGGCGGACGGGUGAGUAACGCGUGGGUAACCUGCCUUGUACAGGGGGAUAACAGUUGGAAACGACUGCUAAUACCGCAUAAGCGCACGGUAUCGCAUGAUACAGUGUGAAAAACUCCGGUGGUAUAAGAUGGACCCGCGUCUGAUUAGCUUGUUGGUGAGGUAACGGCCCACCAAGGCGACGAUCAGUAGCCGGCCUGAGAGGGUGAACGGCCACAUUGGGACUGAGACACGGCCCAAACUCCUACGGGAGGCAGCAGUGGGGAAUAUUGCACAAUGGGGGAAACCCUGAUGCAGCGACGCCGCGUGAGUGAUGAAGUAUUUCGGUAUGUAAAACUCUAUCAGCAGGGAAGAUAAUGACGGUACCUGACUAAGAAGCACCGGCUAAAUACGUGCCAGCAGCCGCGGUAAAACGUAGGGUGCAAGCGUUGUCCGGAAUUACUGGGUGUAAAGGGAGCGCAGGCGGACCGGCAAGUUGGAAGUGAAAACUAUGGGCUCAACCCAUAAAUUGCUUUCAAAACUGCUGGCCUUGAGUAGUGCAGAGGUAGGUGGAAUUCCCGGUGUAGCGGUGGAAUGCGUAGAUAUCGGGAGGAACACCAGUGGCGAAGGCGACCUACUGGGCACCAACUGACGCUGAGGCUCGAAAGCAUGGGUAGCAAACAGGAUUAGAUACCCUGGUAGUCCAUGCCGUAAACGAUGAUUACUAGGUGUUGGAGGAUUGACCCCUUCAGUGCCGCAGUUAACACAAUAAGUAAUCCACCUGGGGAGUACGACCGCAAGGUUGAAACUCAAAGGAAUUGACGGGGGCCCGCACAAGCAGUGGAGUAUGUGGUUUAAUUCGAAGCAACGCGAAGAACCUUACCAGGUCUUGACAUCCGAUGCAUAGUGCAGAGAUGCAUGAAGUCCUUCGGGACAUCGAGACAGGUGGUGCAUGGUUGUCGUCAGCUCGUGUCGUGAGAUGUUGGGUUAAGUCCCGCAACGAGCGCAACCCUUAUUGCCAGUUACUACGAAAGAGGACUCUGGCGAGACUGCCGUUGACAAAACGGAGGAAGGUGGGGAUGACGUCAAAUCAUCAUGCCCUUUAUGACCUGGGCUACACACGUACUACAAUGGCGUUUAACAAAGAGAAGCAAGACCGCGAGGUGGAGCAAAACUCAAAAACAACGUCUCAGUUCAGAUUGCAGGCUGCAACUCGCCUGCAUGAAGUCGGAAUUGCUAGUAAUCGCGGAUCAGCAUGCCGCGGUGAAUAAGUUCCCGGGCCGUGCACACACCGCCCGUCA